rnacentral:rRNA from 2 species
UGCAGUCGAACGAGUUCUGAUUAUUGAAAGGUGCUUGCAUCUUGAUUUAAUUUUGAACGAGUGGCGGACGGGUGAGUAACACGUGGGUAACCUGCCCUUAAGUGGGGGAUAACAUUUGGAAACAGAUGCUAAUACCGCAUAAAUCCAAGAACCGCAUGGUUCUUGGCUGAAAGAUGGCGUAAGCUAUCGCUUUUGGAUGGACCCGCGGCGUAUUAGCUAGUUGGUGAGGUAACGGCUCACCAAGGCAAUGAUACGUAGCCGAACUGAGAGGUUGAUCGGCCACAUUGGGACUGAGACACGGCCCAAACUCCUACGGGAGGCAGCAGUAGGGAAUCUUCCACAAUGGACGCAAGUCUGAUGGAGCAACGCCGCGUGAGUGAAGAAGGCUUUCGGGUCGUAAAACUCUGUUGUUGGAGAAGAAUGGUCGGCAGAGUAACUGUUGUCGGCGUGACGGUAUCCAACCAGAAAGCCACGGCUAACUACGUGCCAGCAGCCGCGGUAAUACGUAGGUGGCAAGCGUUAUCCGGAUUUAUUGGGCGUAAAGCGAGCGCAGGCGGUUUUUUAAGUCUGAUGUGAAAGCCCUCGGCUUAACCGAGGAAGUGCAUCGGAAACUGGGAAACUUGAGUGCAGAAGAGGACAGUGGAACUCCAUGUGUAGCGGUGAAAUGCGUAGAUAUAUGGAAGAACACCAGUGGCGAAGGCGGCUGUCUGGUCUGUAACUGACGCUGAGGCUCGAAAGCAUGGGUAGCGAACAGGAUUAGAUACCCUGGUAGUCCAUGCCGUAAACGAUGAAUGCUAGGUGUUGGAGGGUUUCCGCCCUUCAGUGCCGCAGCUAACGCAUUAAGCAUUCCGCCUGGGGAGUACGACCGCAAGGUUGAAACUCAAAGGAAUUGACGGGGGCCCGCACAAGCGGUGGAGCAUGUGGUUUAAUUCGAAGCAACGCGAAGAACCUUACCAGGUCUUGACAUCUUUUGAUCACCUGAGAGAUCAGGUUUCCCCUUCGGGGGCAAAAUGACAGGUGGUGCAUGGUUGUCGUCAGCUCGUGUCGUGAGAUGUUGGGUUAAGUCCCGCAACGAGCGCAACCCUUAUGACUAGUUGCCAGCAUUUAGUUGGGCACUCUAGUAAGACUGCCGGUGACAAACCGGAGGAAGGUGGGGAUGACGUCAAAUCAUCAUGCCCCUUAUGACCUGGGCUACACACGUGCUACAAUGGAUGGUACAACGAGUUGCGAGACCGCGAGGUCAAGCUAAUCUCUUAAAGCCAUUCUCAGUUCGGACUGUAGGCUGCAACUCGCCUACACGAAGUCGGAAUCGCUAGUAAUCGCGGAUCAGCACGCCGCGGUGAAUACGUUCCCGGGCCUUGUACACACCGCCCGUCACACCAUGAGAGUUUGUAACACCCGAAGCCGGUGGCGUAACCCUUUUAGGGAGCGAGCC